ACUCAAAGGAAUUGACGGGGGUCCGCACAAGCGGUGGAACAUGUGGUUUAAUUCGACACUACGCGAGGAACCUUACCUAGGCUUGACAUAUACCUGACCGCCACAGAAACGUGGUUUUUCAAGCGAAAGCUUGGACGGGUAUACAGGUGCUGCAUGGCUGUCGUCAGCUCGUGUCGUGAGAUGUUGGGUUAAGUCCUUUAACGAGCGCAACUCCUGCUAUUAGUUGCUACUUCGCAAGAAGGCACUCUAAUGGGACUGCCUGGGAAACCAGGAGGAAGGUGGGAAUGAUGUCAAGUCCUCAUGGCCCUUAUGCCUAGGGCAACACACGUGUUACAAUGGUUGGUACAAAGGGUUGCAAACUCGUAAGAGCAAGCUAAUCUCAGAAAGCCAAUCUAAGUUCGGAUUGAGGUCUGCAACUCGACCUCAUGAAGUUGAAAUCGCUAGUAAUCGCGUAUCAGAACGACGCGGUGAAUACGUUCUCGGACCUUGUACACACCGCCCGU
rnacentral:rRNA from 1 species